rnacentral:tRNA from 1 species
GGGGACAUAGCUCAGCUGGUAGAGUGCUUGUCUCACAUGCACAAGGUCCUGAGUUCAAUCCUCAGCACCACCA